UGGGGAAUAUUGCACAAUGGGCGGAAGCCUGAUGCCGCGACGCCGCGUGAGGGAUGACGGCCUUCGGGUUGUAAACCUCUUUCAGUAGGGACGAAGCGUAAGUGACGGUACCUGCAGAAGAAGCACCGCCUAACUACGUGCCAGCAGCCGCGGUAAUACGUAGGGCGCGAGCGUUGUCCGGAAUUACUGGGCGUAACGGGCUCGUUGGCGGUUUGUCACGUCGUCUGUUAAAUCCUAGGGCUUUACCCGGGAGGUGCAGGCGAUACGGGCUGACUUGAGUACUACAGGGGAGACUGGAAUUUCUGGUGUAGCGGUGGAAUGCACAGAUAUCAGGAAGAACACCGAUGGCGAAGGCGGGUCUCUGGGUAGUAACUGACGCUGAGGAGCGAAAGCAUGGGGAGCGAACAGG
rnacentral:rRNA from 1 species